CUACUUAAAAUAAAUGUUUACUGACAUAUUACAUGUUAAUAAUGGGUUUUAGUUAUCUUAUAUUUGGUUUGUUGCAAUCUUGUUAUAGAAAAUACUAGAUGCAUACUAGAUAUGGCGGCUGUGGAUCAGGUGGUAGAGCGGGUUGUCCACUAAUCGUAGGGUUGGCGGUUCGAUUCGCGGCCCACGUGACUCCACGUGCCGAAGUGUCCUCGGGCAAGACAUUGAACCCCAAGUUGCUCCCGAUGGCAAGUUAGCGCCUUGCAUAGCAGCUCUGCUACCAUUGGUGUGUGUGAAUGGGUGAAUGAGAACCAGUGUAAAGCGCUUUGGAUAAAAGCGCUAUAUAAGUGCAGACCAUUUACAUUUGACAAUAUUCAAGAUAUUUUCACUUGCUAAGAUAUUUUUUGCAGUGCAAGACUAGAUUCUGAGGCAGUGAGGCAGUGUUAAGGUUGGGUUGUGGUCGUUUGUAGGCAGUGUUAAGGUUGUUCGUAGGGAGUGGUAACUUUGAAAUACAUGUUUCUCAGGAAGUGGGACCAAGCUGCUAAUUUGGUGCACAGGAUCUGUAAGUACGGUAUAACCAGUUUGACUACUUUUUUCUUUUUUUAAAAUACUGUUCCUAUUUUGGUAUUGUACUGUCCUGUGUUUUUAGCACACGUCUGCACGAGCACUUUAUGUAGAAUGUUUGUAGAUCUUAUUUAGUUCCAUGUUGUCUAAUGUUCUGUUUUAUGUAGCACAAUGGUCCUACAGGAACGUUGUUUCAUUUCACUGUGUACUGUACCAAAUGUAUAUGGUUGAAAUGACAACAAAACCACUUGAACUUGUUUUGUGACCAGAGCCCUCCUGCUAUAAAAGCUUCUUGCUUUCUCUUUUGCUCAGAAACAGCAGUGACGACCAACAGAACAAAAGUGUCGGUGUUGAGCAUUAAUAAUGGCAUCAUCAUGGGACACCUGGAUGAUUGGAUGCGGAUAUAAUCCGAAGGGCUUCAGUAUUGUCAAACACUUUGAUGAUGAAUACAAUGGAAAUUCAGACCUUGGAGACCUCUUUACUGUGGAAUGUGGAACAUGGUACAGAACGAUCUUUCAUGCUGGAGUGUGCUGUGAUGAAGAUGAGAUAAUUCAUUUCACACGUAAAACUUUUUUUUUUUUUUAUAAUUGUACAGUAUAUUAACAUAGAGAAACUCACAGUAUAACUAAACAAAUAGAAAUAUCAGUUUCUGUAUCACAGUGAUGCCAUUAUCUGUAAUAGUAUAAUUAAUCCUAAGCACUGUAUUUAUUGGGAUUUUUCUAUUUCCUUAUUACAGGAAACCAGUACAGUAUACUGAAAUGUUUUUCCUUUCCCCCCACUAGAAUCAAAUUCUCGAUCAAGUGGCUCUGUAUCAAGUUCCUCUGGAACUGUAAGCAAUCUGUGUAGCUCAUCUACCAGCUCUUCCAGCUACUCUUCUAGUUCUUCUAUCAGUCCAUCUUCCAGUUCUUGUCCAGGGAUUGUAAGCAAAGUGAAUGUGAAUGGGUUUUCUGGAGGAUUUAAAUUUGCAAUUUAUAGGAAGAAUGGUGGAAUCCCUGUAUCAUUUAGACAGAACGUUAAAAAGGCAAUGAGGAAAAAUCCACAAUAUGAUCUUCUUACAUACAACUGUAUUCAUUUCGCCAUGGAGCUUCUUAGUGUACAGGGAAAGGAGGAUCCUUAAACAGUUUCAUCUUUCAGAUAAAAAGCUUCAUGGAAGACGUUGCUGUUGGACAGACAGACAAGCCUCUGAUGAUGGAAGAAGUAGAUUUCAUUCUGUUUUAUAUUUAAUUGAUUUUCUUCAACAAUACUGUACUUUACUCUGAUGUUAAAAAAAAAAAAAUGUUCUUCACUCGAGAAAAGUUUUAAUGUCUGAUUAGACCAAAACAAGGGUGUUAAUACAAUUUUAUUAGAAAACUCUAGUAUGUAUAGCUGUUUGUUUUAGUCUGUACUGUCUGUAGAUUAUGAAUUGGGAGUUAUUGUUAAUUAAUUACCGUAGUUAAGAACCAGAUGAUUAUUCAGUUUUGUUCAGUCAAGAUUGAGUAACAAGUCAGCUCAUUUUUUAGCUCAUUUCUGUGACUCUUAAUUAAAAAUCUAAAUCAACAAUGUUCAAUUCCAUGU